GACCGAUGCGCGUAACGCGAUAGCAUGCGCUUUUUGCAUUAGCUGAUGCGCCGUUGAUGCAGCUGGGAUAAGAUGGGAAACUUAAAACUGGUCAUCGUCAGUCGAGCCGCCAUAGGAAGCGUGUGUUUCUUUCGUGUUCGGUGGCUCAGGGCAUCCCUCUCCAUGCCUGGGUCCGUGACAUUCAAGUGGGGUUGUCGGCUGCUGGGCUUGCUCAAUUCCUUCUCCUUUGGGAGCGCAUCGCCUCCCUUCCCCCCUUGUAUGCAAGUGGUCCUCUUCUGGUUUUCUCUACUCACGUUCUGCUUACCAGGCUUUGUUUCUCGGUUCUACUCCCUACAAAUCCUUUGAGAUCAUUUGGCGGCCUAGAGCUCCGUUGGAACACCAAAUCUUUGCUUGGUUGGCUAUCCACGAUUGCUGCUGGACCGGAGAGCGCCGCCUGCGAUGAGGUCUCUCUGGUUCGAGGUGUUGUCUAUCACUCUAUCUUCAGCUGGGCUUUCAGGAUGACGUCCUCCUCGGACUAGCUUCAGGCUUGGUCCUCCUAACAUGACGAUUCAAAGGAGCCGGUACAUCAAGCGUGCCUACCACGAGUGUGAUGAACUCUGGAGAAGCAAGCGGCGGCGGGCUCUGAACGAUGACCAAGAAGCUGAGCCAGGUGUAACAACAAUACAGUCAUCCUCAUCCUUUCCUGUUGUGAAGAAGAUCACUAUUGCUGCGGUAUGUUCGGUCUCGUCUUUCUUCGGCUUGAACAAAGAUGAGCUGAGCCGCUCCGCUGUUCGAAGAUUUGAGCUGUUCGCUGAGAACCUAGGCAGGCAAGUUCAUGAGGGACGUGGAGUCUGGCUGUACACUUGGGCACUACAGGUUUUUUUUAUCCGCAAUUAAUUAUGCUCUGCCUGGCCGAGGCUGCAAUGCUUCUGAAUGUCACGAAUCGCGAUGGCUUGGGAAGUUAUGCCAGGAGGCAUUAAAAUGCUUCUUAACACAUUGGCUUUUCAGCUGGAAUUGAGUAUACUAUUGCAGA